rnacentral:rRNA from 1 species
AUACCGGGCCUUUUUGGGCUUGGUAAUUGGAAUGAGGGAGAGUUAAACGGACCAUCGAGUAUCCAUUGGAGGGCAAGUCUGGUGCCAGCAGCUGCGGUAAUACCAGCUCCAAUAGCGUAUAUUAAAGUUGUUGCAGUUAAAAAGCUCGUAGUUGGACUUGUGUGCGCUGUCCGCGGGUGGCCUGCGCCCAAAAGGGCGUUUCGGUUCGGCCCCGGUGGCGCCUUGAAAUCUGCAGCUGGGGGGACGUUGGCCUUAACUGGUCGGCGACCGCACGCCGGCUGCUCGGUUACUGUGAGAAAAUUAGAGUGUUCAAGGCAGGCAUUGGGUGCAAUUGAAUACAUUAGCAUGGAAUAAUAAAAUAUGGCUCCUGCCGUAUUUUGUUGGUUUUGACUGGUGGGAGUAAUGAUUGAUAGGGACGGUUGGGGGUGCUAGUAUUGAGCGGCCAGAGGUGAAAUUCAUGGAUUCGCUCAAGACUAACUUAUGCGAAAGCAUUCACCAAGGACGUCCUCUUUAAUCAAGAACGAAAGUUGGGGGAUCGAAGACGAUCAGAUACCGUCGUAGUCUCAACCAUAAACUAUGUCGACUUGGGAUCGGCGGUAGUUUUUUCAUUAAGACACUGUCGGGACCACGGGAGAAAUCAAAGUGUCUGGACUCUGGGGGAAGUAUGGUCGCAAGGCUGAAACUUGAAGGAAUUGACGGAAGGGCACCACCAGGAGUGGAGCCUGCGGCUUAAUUUGACCCAACACGGGGAAACUCACCAGGUCCAGAGAUGUAGAGGAUUGACAGAUUGAAGCUCUUUCUUGAUCACUUCGGUGGUGGUGCAUGGCCGUUCUUAGUUGGUGUAGUGAUUUGUCUGGUUAAUUCCGUUAACGAACGAGACCUCAGCCUGCUAGUGUAGUCGGCUGGAUUGCCUUUGGCGAUCCGUGAUUUCGACUUCUUAGAGGGACAAUCGACGCGCAGUCGAUGGAAGUUUGAGGCAAUAACAGGUCUGUGAUGCCCUUAGAUGUUCUGGGCCGCACGCGCGCUACACUGCUGGGCUCAGCGAGUUUUACUUGGCCGAGAGGCCCGGUUAAUCUUGUGAAAUCCCAGCGUGCUUGGGCUCGCCUCCUGCAACUGGAGGCGCCAACGAGGAAUUCCUAGUAGACGCAGGUCAUCAACCUGCAUCGAUUACGUCCCUGCCCUUUGUACACACCGCCCGUCGUUCCAUAAGAGUGAGGCAUCCGGUGAAUUCUCGGGAGAGCCUGGGCGUGGCCAGCAAUGGUCUGCUCGGGUUUGAACUUGCAUAAACUUGGUGCCUAUGAUUAGGG